ensembl:snRNA U6 U6 spliceosomal RNA
GUGCUCACUUCAGCAGUACAUAUACUACAACUGGAAUGAUAGAUUAGCAUGGCCCCUGUGCAAGGUGACAUGCAAAUUUGUGGUGUUCUAUAUUAAA